UCCCAUAUGGUCUAGCGGUCAGGAUUCUUGGUUUUCACCCAGGGGGCUCGGGUUUGACUCCUGGUAUGGGAA